rnacentral:lncRNA from 1 species
GUUAAAACUUUAUUGUUUAAGCUGAUGGGUCGCUGAUUGUCACGAUGUUCCAAAUAGAUCAAACAAGUUGCAAGUUGGCUUAGCAAGAGACGGGUCAAACAAAUGUAAUCAAUUUCAAAUGCGCGUUUUCUAGCAUUCUGCAUGUAAAAUUAUCAUGGCCACUAUUUUUCGGUUUAAUGCUUUGUUAAAACCAGAUAGUUAUUAUUCAUAUGAUUAAUUUUGAAUAAUGUUUUGUGUAGGCAGAUAUUGUAAUAUUGUUCAACUGUUAAAUAUUAUCUUGAUGAGCAAUUUAU